GGCGGGCUAGCGUAAUGGUUAACGCGCUAGUUUCCGGGGUGCGGAAAUUUGUUUCAACCAACAAGCUAGAGAUUCUGGGUUCGAGUCCCAGGCUCGUCG
rfam:Plicaturopsis crispa FD-325 SS-3 unplaced genomic scaffold PLICRscaffold_6, whole genome shotgun sequence.